AAUGGGCGAAAGCCUGACGCAGCGACGCCGCGUGGGUGAUGAAGGCCUUCGGGUUGUAAAGCUCUGUGGGGAGAGACGAAUAAGACGUGGCUAACAUCCACGGCGAUGACGGUAUCUCCUUAGCAAGCACCGGCUAACUCUGUGCCAGCAGCCGCGGUAAGACAGAGGGUGCAAACGUUGUUCGGAAUUACUGGGCGUAAAGCGUGUGUAGGCGGCCAUGUAAGUUGGAUGUGAAAGCCCGGGGCUCAACCCCGGAAGUGCAUUCAAAACUGCGUGGCUUGAGUAUCGGAGAGGUUGGUGGAAUUCUCGGUGUAGAGGUGAAAUUCGUAGAUAUCGAGAGGAACACCGGUGGCGAAGGCGGCCAACUGGACGAAUACUGACGCUGAGACACGAAAGCGUGGGGAGCAAA
rnacentral:rRNA from 1 species